rnacentral:rRNA from 1 species
GCUCGUAGUUGAACCUUGGGUCUGGCUGCUCGGUCCGCCUAACCGCGUGCACUGAUGCGGCCGGAUCUUUCCUUCUGGCUAACCUCAUGCCCUUUACUGGGUGUGCUGGGGAUCCAGGACUUUUACUUUGAAAAAAUUAGAGUGUUCAAAGCAGGCCUUUGCUCGAAUACAUUAGCAUGGAAUAAUAGAAUAGGACGGCGGUUCUAUUUUGUUGGUUUCUAGAGCCACCGUAAUGAUUAAUAGGGAUAGUCGGGGGCAUCAGUAUUCAAUUGUCAGAGGUGAAAUUCUUGGAUUUAUUGAAGACUAACUACUGCGAAAGCAUUUGCCAAGGAUGUUUUCAUUAAUCAGUGAACGAAAGUUAGGGGAUCGAAGACGAUCAGAUACCGUCGUAGUCUUAACCAUAAACUAUGCCGACUAGGGA